rnacentral:rRNA from 1 species
ACCAAGGCGAUGAUGCAUAGCCCGAGUUGAGAGACUGAUCGGGCCACAUUGGGACUGAGACACGGCCCAAAAACUCCUACGGGGAGGCAGCAGUAGGGAAUCUUCCACAAUGGACGAAAGUCUGAUGGAGCAACGCCGCGUGAGUGAAGAAGGUUUUCGGAUCGUAAAAGCUCUGUUGUUGGUGAAGAAGGAUAGAGGUAGUAACUGGCCUUUAUUUGACGGUAAUCAACCAGAAAGUCACGGCUAACUACGUGCCAGCAGCCGCGGUAAU